AGAGUUUGAUCAUGGCUCAGAGUGAACGCUGGCGGCAUGCCUAACACAUGCAAGUCGAACGGUAACAGGCCCGCAAGGGUGCUGACGAGUGGCGGACGGGUGAGGAAUACAUCGGAAUUUGCCCAGUCGUGGGGGAUAACGUAGGGAAACUUACGCUAAUACCGCAUACGACCAAACGGUGAAAGCGGGGGAUCAGCAAUGACCUCGCGCGGAUGGAUAAGCCGAUGUCGGAUUAGCUAGUUGGCGGGGUAAAAGCCCACCAAGGCGACGAUCCGUAGCUGGUCUGAGAGGAUGAUCAGCCACACUGGGACUGAGACACGGCCCAGACUCCUACGGGAGGCAGCAGUGGGGAAUAUUGGACAAUGGGGGCAACCCUGAUCCAGCAAUGCCGCGUGUGUGAAGAAGGCCUUCGGGUUGUAAAGCACUUUUAUCCGGAACGAAACGCGCAGGGUGAAUAUCCUUGCGAACUGACGGUACCGGAGGAAUAAGCACCGGCUAACUUCGUGCCAGCAGCCGCGGUAAUACGAAGGGUGCAAGCGUUACUCGGAAUUACUGGGCGUAAAGGGUGCGUAGGUGGUUUUUUAAGUCCGUUGUGAAAUCCCUGGGCUCAACCUGGGAAUGGCAGUGGAUACUGGAAAGCUAGAGUGCGGUAGAGGGUAGUGGAAUUCCCGGUGUAGCAGUGAAAUGCGUAGAGAUCGGGAGGAACACCAGUGGCGAAGGCGGCUACCUGGACCAGCACUGACACUGAGGCACGAAAGCGUGGGGAGCAAACAGGAUUAGAUACCCUAGUAGUCC
rnacentral:rRNA from 1 species